rnacentral:rRNA from 1 species
CCUACGGGAGGCAGCAGUGAGGAAUAUUGGUCAAUGGGCGCAAGCCUGAACCAGCCAUGCCGCGUGCAGGAUGAAGCAUCUAUGGGUGUGUAAACUGCUUUUGUACGGGAAGAAACCCUGCCACGUGUGGCAGAUUGACGGUACCGUAAGAAUAAGGAUCGGCUAACUCCGUGCCAGCAGCCGCGGUAAUACGGAGGAUCCAAGCGUUAUCCGGAAUCAUUGGGUUUAAAGGGUCCGUAGGCGGUUUUAUAAGUCAGUGGUGAAAUCCGGCAGCUCAACUGUCGAACUGCCAUUGAUACUGUAGGACUUGAAUUAUUGUGAAGUAACUAGAAUAUGUAGUGUAGCGGUGAAAUGCUUAGAUAUUACAUGGAAUACCCAUUGCGAAGGCAGGUUACUAACAAUAUAUUGACGCUGAUGGACGAAAGCGUGGGGAGCGAACAGGAUUAGAUACCCUGGUAGUCCACGCCGUAAACGAUGGAUACUAGCUGUUGGUUGUAAGACUGAGUGGCUAAGCGAAAGUGAUAAGUAUCCCACCUGGGGAGUACGGGNGCAGCCUGAAACUCAAAUGAAUUGACGG